CACCUUUGUGACGCUUCUUUGCAGGAACCACCUUUCUCUAUCGCGUGUAUCACUCGCUCCCUCCCUCUCUCUUGGCUGAAAUGGCCUCGCCAAGCUCACCGCGGCGGAUGCACGCACCGCUGUCGCCUGGAUCGGUGUUGGGCGCUCCUUUUUUUGUUGUUGCAGCUAUGCUUCUGCUCCAUGGGGUGCCGGUGCGCGGAUUCGAUGGGGAUGCGGUAACUGCGCCGCCCUCUGCCUCAACCGCUUUCACCGAGCACCCCUUUACUCUUCCCACAGCUGCAUCGCUGCUGGACGUGCUGGCGAGCGACUUUUGCACCAGGACCGGGGAGGGUGAGGAGAGCAGCUGUACGCCCUCGGUGUCGCGGCUUCCCACGCACCCCGUGCUCAUUCUCUUCACAGAGAGCAAUGCUGGCCAUUCCUCCACUCUUGCUGCCCUGCGCGCAAAGGUGCGACAGAUCGCAACCGACGUACCGUCGUCGGUGCUGCGGGUGCACGAGUACGUGAUACCGAUGAGUGCCACCGAGCGCCGCCUUAUCGAGUUGUUGCUCAUAGGUGCCAGCCACGUACCUACACUGGCGCUCUUCCACGGCAGAGUUGCAAAGGUGCAGGUGGCCCCCGGCUCUAUCGUUUCGGCGAGCCCCUUCCAGACACCAGUGCUGUACUCGACUACGCCGCUGGCGAGCGCCAGCUAUCUCGAGCUGCGCUCCUGGGCGCUGAGUGAGCUGCCGGCCCGCUACGUCGACCCUGUCACCUUUCACCUUAUACCAAGUCUCCAGUUCGUCUUCAGCCCAGCUGAGGUGCACGAAACGCUCCAACUUGUCCGCGACGCUCUCGAGGCAAGUGAGUCCCGCUCUGUCCUCCCGGCAUUCGUGUCGAUGGCCUACAUGCGACUUACCAGGCACGGUUCGGAGGAGGUGCUCGCCGCUCUUUCCUCUAUCGCCACACAAGCUGGCAACGCGGUGCUUACGCUGGUGACGGAGUCGGCGGAGGUGGCUGCGGCAUGGGGUCUACGCGCAGAGCACACCUUCACGAUGGCCCCGUGGUCCAGCACUGUUGCGGCAUACUUGAACAGCUCUGCAUCUGAUGGAUUUGCGGCAUCUGUCUCAGAUCUAUCUCCACCGCAGUCCAUCGGCACCGUGACCGAGCUGGCGGAGGCGACUGCUGGCUCGGCAGCAUGGCGCGCUGCCUGUGCGGCGUCGGUCCGUGCUGAAAUUGCGCAGCUGCAGAACUGGCGCCAGGCGAUGAAUGCCUUCAACACCACGAGCCCUCUCCGCCGGAUCGACUCAGCCGCGCACCUCCUGCACGAGUUGAAAGCGCUGCAAAACGCGUUGAAAAUUGUCUUUGUGCUGCGCGAGAGUGACGAGAUGUGGUUCCACCACCACCUCGAGGUCGCAGCCGCUCUAGCGCGGCGGCUGCAGAGCACAACGGUGUUCUACAAUACAACGACAUUAGCGAAAGGGUCGAAGGCGCGCAGCCGCGUCGAGCGCUCUUGGACGCCGAUCAUGCGGUGUGACGUAUUUUGGCUAGAUGCUGAACAGCUGCCGGCGGUGGCGGACGGACUGCAUGUGUCGCAGGUGCCAUCGGUUCUCAUCUUGGUGCCUCUGCAGUCGCGCUUCGGUGAAGGUGGCGAUGGCGACAGGGCUGAUGCUGCCGCUGCCGCCGGCGAUGACGACCAGGCGGCCGCCGGCGCGUCUGAGGAGGCCGGCCUGCGCCGCCGUGACCCGUUCAUCGGCAUACACACAAUUAAUCGAUACGACCUUCUCAAAGCUGCCUACAUGGACGAUGCGCAGAUGACCCACGAGCCGGUGUCUGGAAAGGAGGCGCUGCCUCUUUUCCCCAGCGACAGCGACACCCUCCUGCGUUUCUUGGCCAGUGGUAGCUUCCUCGGUGCUAUGCAGUACACCAUGAGCUCGACCCAACUCAGCACGCUCCGGGCGAAGGUGACGGAGUUGCCGGAUGCCGUCCAGGCCGCCACGGCCAGCGGUGGCACCUCCAACAGACACUACCUCCAGCUGGACCGCCGCUACUACCCGUUGCGGGGGGCGGAGGAGCCGAUGGAGGGGCCGGUGUACGUGCGCCAGAUCCUGAACGGGUCUUCGCCGCUCCCGGUGCUUGGCAGUGACGACUCCGACACAGAGUUAGGGCGGCAGCCGGUUGGCGGGCGGAGUGGCACGCACCCCCGCGGCACCACCUCCGCGUCCCCGGAUGAGGCGGACGAAAGGCUGCGUCAGCGCCGCGCUCGUGAGGAAGCCGCGGCGCUGAAGAGGAAGGCGGCGUGGGAGGCAAACUUGGCCAAGCGCCGACGGGAGAAGGCGGAUCGGAUGCGCCGCAAGGCUGCCGAGGACGCCGCAGAGCGGGAGCGGCAGCAGGAGGCUUUUCAGCAGGAGGUGAACGCUGCGCUGAAGGCGGAACAGGAGGGGGCUGGCGGUGGCGCUGGUGGCACGUGGGCAUCGCAGCCGGAGGGCCUGCUGGUGCGCCGCCCCACCUUGGAAGAUGCUUCCGAAGGCCUCGUAGAAGAGGGGCGCCGUAAGGGGAGGCCGCAGCGCCCCUUUGGUGAGCAAGUGGACUCGCAGGAUGCCGCGCAGAUUUUGCGUCGGCGGCGUCGACAUCGGGAGUAUCGCGAGUGGCUGGCCGACCGUCAGCUCAUGGUGAACCGCUGCGUCACGGUGACAGAGAAGGGCAAGUUAUCCUUGAUGACCCGAUGGGAGUGAUAGAAGUGCUCGUGUGCUUCUGCCUUCGUCCCCGUCAACGAGAAAAGGAGCUCCGGUGGUGGUGGUGGUGGGGCGGGUCAGGUGAUUCUCUGCAUCACAGUCUUUUGCCUUCUUCGCCUCAAGCCUUCUCUGCUCGCACCCACGUCCCUUCUGCCCAGCCUUUGCCGUGUUGUACGCGCACCGCACAACUUGGUUCCUGCUGUCUUACACGCACACACGCACCUUUUCGGCGCUUGCGUGCGCGUGAGGCGGGAAAUGGCGCCUGCACGAGUUGUUGAUGUCCCCCCUUUCCGCCCUUCUCGUUAUAUCCUCACUGCUCGCAUCUCUUUCGUCGGUGCGUCCUGCUCCUCUGCUGCGUAUGAUGGGCUACACACAUGCGCGAUGGCAGGCAACGCCACAAAUGCAGAUCGACACAGACAGGCAGGCACAUAGAGACGUGCAAGACAGCCUCCCUGGGCAGUAUCCGCACGCGUGGCCCUGGUCACCUGGCGCAUGCACGUAUGGCGGCGGAAGAGGUAUGAUUCCCUGGAGAGAGUGGACGAGACACUUUAGGGGGCUGCGCUUCAGCGUGUGUGUGCGCGCGACUGCGACCCCGCGGAUGUCUCCGCUCCUACAAGCGAGCUGGGGUCGAGUGCGGCGCGAGCAUUCCACUUCGUUUCCGUCAAGACCCUUUCGCUCCCGCCUGCUCUCUCGUCCGCAGACUGGCCCGUUCCGCUUGUGUGUGCGCAUGUGCCGUCUUCUCUUCGCUCUUUCUGUCUUGGUGUCAACGCGGCCUCCCACCGCCAUCAACACGCCUGAACCCGUGUCUCUUCGCCUCCUCAUUUCUUCAG
rnacentral:misc_RNA from 1 species